rnacentral:tRNA from 1 species
GCUGUAGCCUGGUGAUAGAGCAUCUUCUUUGCAUGCAGAAGAUCCCAGGUUCAAUCUCUGGCAUCUCCA